rnacentral:rRNA from 1 species
GUCGAGAAUCUUUCACAAUGGGGGCAACCCUGAUGGAGCGACGCCGCGUGGAGGAUAAGGUCUUCGGAUUGUAAACUCCUGUCGUGCGUGAACAAGGUUGCUUGGUUAAUACCUGGGCAAAUUGAUGGUAACGCAAGAGGAAGAGACGGCUAACUCUGUGCCAGCAGCCGCGGUAAUACAGAGGUCUCAAGCGUUGUUCGGAAUCACUGGGCGUAAAGGGUGCGUAGGUGGCGUGGUAAGUCAGAUGUGAAAGCCCGGGGCUCAACCUCGGAACUGCAUCCGAUACUGCCAUGCUAGAGUACUGGAGAGGUGACUAGAAUUCUCGGUGUAGCAGUGAAAUGCGUAGAUAUCGAGAGGAAUACCAAAGGCGUAGGCAGGUCACUGGACAGUUACUGACACUGAGGCACGAAGGCCAGGGGAGCGAACGGGAUUAGAAACCCGAGUAGUCC